CCCCACCUCUCGCGCGACGUCACGCGGCCGGGCCGGGCGGUGGCGGCGCGCGGGGAUGGAGCGGCUGCCGCUCGGCCGGUGGUUCUGUAGCUGUCUGUCUGCCAGUGAGAGCUGGGUUUUGGCACGUGAAUUCACCAAGUGCAAGGUGUUUCUCAGGUCUUUCUCCUCUACAAAGAAGCUUUGUUGCCAAGACUUACUCUGAAAAUGACCUAGAGUACCUACUGCAGAUGCCUGCAAGUGUAGAAGCUGAUAAAUCAUAUCUUCUUCCCUCCCCUGACUUUCCUGUUUCCUCUGGAAUUUAUACUUCUAAAUUUUUUUAA
rnacentral:lncRNA from 1 species